rnacentral:rRNA from 2 species
AGCCGGUGGCCCAACCCCUUGUGGGAGGGAGCUGUCGAAGGUGGGACUGGCGAUUGGGACGAAGUCGUAACAAGGUAGCCGUACCGGAAGGUGCGGCUGGAUCACCUCCUUUCUAAGGAG